rnacentral:rRNA from 1 species
UCGAGAAUUUUUGACAAUGGGGGAAACCCUGAUCGAGCGACGCCGCGUGGAGGAUGAAGGUCUUCGGAUUGUAAACUCCUGUCAUUUGGGAACAAGGCGUACGUGUUAACUGCACGUGCGUUGAUAGUACCAGAAGAGGAAGGGACGGCUAACUCUGUGCCAGCAGCCGCGGUAAUACAGAGGUCCCAAGCGUUGUUCGGAUUCAUUGGGCGUAAAGGGUGCGUAGGCGGCGCGGUAAGUCGGGUGUGAAAUCUCGGAGCUUAACUCCGAAACUGCAUUCGAUACUGCCGUGCUUGAGGACUGGAGAGGAGACUGGAAUUUACGGUGUAGCGGUGAAAUGCGUAGAUAUCGUAAGGAAGACCAGUGGCGAAGGCGGGUCUCUGGACAGUUCCUGACGCUGAGGCACGAAGGCCAGGGGAGCAAACGGGAUUAGAUACCCCCGUAGUCC